CUUACCUCCCCAUAAGAAACUGAAACACAAUCAAGUUCAUCUCGGGAAAUUAAUGCGAUGGCUUGAUUUAUACCGGCAUCAAGCUAAUGAAUUAAUAAAUGCAAUAAUGAGAAAAAUGUAAAAAACUUACCUUUCCCAGGCGAUUCAGCACUUGAUAUAAAUCUAUCACAGGACACUCAUCUUCAUCUAUCUGAUGGAAAAGAUAAUCUCGUAAUAAGUAGAUUAAUGAAAUUUCUUUUUCUCGUGCGAUAGGAUAUUCACGAGAAGCUCUAUUAUUAUCAAUAAUAAACAUAAUCUUGCACAAAAUAUUAAAAAAUCGACCGUGUUGGAAAGCGUCCGAAAUUUUUCUCUCCAUUUUUUCGCAUUCCACGUAUGGUGAACUCAUUAUAGGGAAAAAACUUUCUAUGUGAUUUUGCAAAAACAACUCCAAGUUUUUAUCCUCAGGAACUUCCGAUACAAAGUAUAAAACCGCUUUAUAAAAUUCCCUCGAAUAUGUACUAUAAAUUGCUCGUGCGGCUGAAGACAUGUCCAUAUCAGUUCUUCCAGUAGCUAAAUUCGCAAUCACAACUCCAAGAUCUACAAAAUCCUGCUUCUUUCGUUCCUCUA